rnacentral:misc_RNA from 1 species
UUGUGUUUACCAAUUAUUUCUCUAUAGAAUAUGAUCUAAGAAAGCUUCGAUUUAGUAACGAUAUUGAGAUGCAGUAACUUUAUAAGUUAACUAAUCAGAGCCAGCGAUUGAGAGCAGCCUAUGGUGAUCGAUGAACUAUUAUAUGAAGGCAUUAAUGCUUGCUAGAGAACGUGCUGGUAUGGACUGCAAUAGCUGCUGCACUUGCUCUCAUGUUUCUGGAUUUCAAGGGUGCUCUGCCAUGCCUGGAGAAGAUAAAAUCACUGGACAUCAUCCUUCUGUUAUUACUUUAUAUUUCCGGAACUGAAAGGGAAUUCUUCAAUCCAACUUCAAAUCUGGAAACCUUUAAAAUUGAAAUCACUGGUCCAAUUUUAGUUGCG